GGUCCAGCAUGGUGGUGGUGGUGUGAAGGUUUGGGGUCAGCAUGGUGGUGGUGGUAGUGCGAUGGUUUGGGGUCCAGCAUGGUGGGGGUAGUGUGAUGGUUUGGGGUCAGCAUGGUGGGGGUAGUGUGAUGGUUUGGGGUCAGCAUGGUGGUGGUGUGAUGGUUUGGGGUCAGCAUGGUGGUGGUAGUGUGAUGGUUUGGGGUCCAGCAUGGUGGUGGUAGUGUGAUGGUUUGGGGUCCAGCAUGGUGGUGGUAGUGUGAUGGUUUGGGGUCCAGCAUGGUGGUGGUGGUAGUGUGAUGGUUUGGGGUCAGCAUGGUGGUGGUAGUGUGAUGGUUAGGGGUCCAGCAUGGUAGUGGUAGGGUGAUGGUUUGGGGUCCAGCAUGGUGGUGGUAGUGUGAUGGUUUGGGGUCCAGCAUGGUGGUGGUAGUGUGAUGGUUUGGGGUCCAGCAUGGUGGUGGUAGUGUGAUGGUAGUGUGAUGGUUUGGGGUCAGUGGUGGUGGUAGUUUGGUUUGGGGUCCAGCAUGGUGGUGGUAGUGUGAUGGUUUGGGGUCAGCAUGGUGGUGGUAGUGUGAUGGUUUGGGGUCCAGCAUGGUGGUGGUAGUGUGAUGGUUUGGGGUCAGCAUGGUGGUGGUAGUGUGAUGGUUUGGGGUCAGCAUGGUGGUGGUAGUGUGAUGGUUUGGGGUCCAGCAUGGUGGUGGUAGUGUGAUGGUUUGGGGUCCAGCAUGGUGGUGGUAGUGUGAUGGUUGGGGUCAGCAUGGUGGUGGUGGUAGUGUGAUGGUUUGGGGUCCAGCAUGGUGGUGGUAGUGUGAUGGUUUGGGGUCAGCAUGGUGGUGGUAGUGUGAUGGUUUGGGGUCAGCAUGGUGGUGGUAGUGUGAUGGUUUGGGGUCAGCAUGGUGGUGGUAGUGUGAUGGUUUGGGGUCCAGCAUGGUGGUGGUAGUGUGAUGGUUUGGGGUCAGCAUGGUGGUGGUAGUGUGAUGGUUUGGGGUCAGCAUGGUGGUGGUAGUGUGAUGGUUUGGGGCAUGGUGGUGGUAGUGUGAUGGUUUGGGGUCCAGCAUGGUGGUGGUAGUGUGAUGGUUUGGGGUCAGCAUGGUGGUGGUAGUGUGAUGGUUUGGGGUCCAGCAUGGUGUGUAUGGUGUGAUGGUAGUGUGAUGGUUUGGGGUCAGCAUGGUGGUGGUAGUGUGAUGGUUUGGGGUCCAGCAUGGUGGUGGUAGUUGGAUGGUUUGGGGUCAGCAUGGUGGUGGUAGUGUGAUGGUUUGGGGUCCAGCAUGGUGGUGGUGAUGUGUGAUGGUUUGGGGUCAGCAUGGUGGUGGUAGUGUGAUGGUUUGGGGUCCAGCAUGGUGGUGGUAGUGUGAUGGUAGUGUGAUGGUUUGGGGCAUGGUGGUGGUAGUGUGAUGGUUUGGGGUCCAGCGUGGUGGUGGUCGUGUGAUGGUUUGGGGUCAGCAUGGUGGUGGUGGUAGUGUGAUGGUUUGGGGUCAAGCAUGGUGGUGGUAGUGUGAUGGUUUGGGGUCAGCAUGGUGGUGGUAGUGUGAUGGUUUGGGGUCAGCAUGGUGGUGGUAGUGUGAUGGUUUGGGGUCAGCAUGGUGGUGGUAGGGUGAUGGUAGUGUGAUGGUUUGGGGUCAAGCAUGGUGGUGGUAGUGUGAUGGUUUGGGGUCAAGCAUGGUGGUGGUAGUGUGAUGGUUUGGGGUCAGCAUGGUGGUGGUAGUGUGAUGGUUUGGGGUCAGCAUGGGUGGUGCUAGUGUGAUGGUAGUGUGAUGGUUUGGGGUCAAGCAUGGUGGUGGUAGUGUGAUGGUAUGGGGUCAGCAUGGUGGUGGUAGUGUGAUGGUAGUGUGAUGGUUUGGGGUCAGCAUGGUGGUGGUAGUGUGAUGUUUUGGGGUCAGCAUGGUAGUGGUAGUGUGAUGGUUUGGGGUCUAGCAUGGUGGUGGUGGUAGUGUAAUGGUUUGGGGUCUAGCAUGGUGGUGGUGGUAGUGUAAUGGUUUGGGG
ensembl:lncRNA